UUUUAUUUUAUUGUUUGAAAAUUUUUAUUUUAUUUGUUAUUUAAAUAAAUUUAUUGAAAAAUGGAGAAAAAGUCAAAAAAUCCCACGGGAAGGAUCCUGACUGCAUGGGCUCUUCACGCCACACGCGUGGCCAGCACAGGAUGUGUGUACUAUGCGCAUGUCCUAUUUGCGCAGUGUGUAAGGUGCGGUCUGCGUGCGCCUUCUGUACAGUAGGCCAACGUGCAGUGACUUGCAUGCUAUAAAGCCUGCACACAAGACAGGCUAGGCUUGUGCGUGGGAGGCUAGAUCUGUAGUGCAUGGCUGGCUUGGGCUGUGCGCACUGCCUCCAGAAGGGCGCGCCACCCCCUUGAGUGU
rnacentral:lncRNA from 1 species